AAAAAAAGGAAAGGCUAAUUCAUGAAAGCGGUAUCAACCAUAAAUAAAUUGAACUCUAAAGGUAAAUUUAGGCACGCAUCCACUUUUGGCCAAGAAAUUGAACUCUAAGGCUAAGCAAAGCCAGUCUGACAUCCCUGAUGAACUAGAUGCAGGGAUUGUCUCGAAUCAAACAUAUUUGAUAAAUUGAAUAGUCACAUGCCAAGGGCGAGUUUAACCUGAGUUCUAGAGG
rnacentral:misc_RNA from 1 species